GAUUGCAGGCUGAAACUCGCCUGCAUGAAGUCGGAAUUGCUAGUAAUCGCAGAUCAGCAUGCUGCGGUGAAUACGUUCCCGGGCCUUGUACACACCGCCCGUCACACCAUGGGAGUCGGUAACACCCGAAGCCUGUAGUCUAACCGCAAGGAGGACGCAGUCGAAGGUGGGAUUGAUGACUGGGGUGAAGUCGUAACAAGGUACC
rnacentral:rRNA from 1 species